UCUUCAGCUGUUUUUUGGACUACAAUCCCCAUCAUCCCUGACCACUGGUCCUGCUAGCUAGGGACGAUGGGGGCUGUAGUCCAGAAACAGCUGAAGA